rnacentral:rRNA from 1 species
GUCAACGACGCUCAUGCUCGAAGGCGCGGGUAUCAAACAGGAUUAGAUACCCUGGUAGUCCGCGCAGUAAACGAUGGACACUCGGGAUUUGCCCCUUGCGGGUGAGUCCCCCAGCGAAAGCGUUAAGUGUCCCACCUGGGGAGUACGCCGGCAACGGUGAAACUCAAAAGAAUUGACGGGGGCCCGCACAAGCGGAGGAACAUGUGGUUUAAUUCGAUGAUACGCGAGGAACCUUACCCGGGCUUGAAAUGUGACCGACGACCCCGAGAGACCGGGGUUUCCUUCGGGCGGUCAUGUAGGUGCUGCAUGGUUGUCGUCAGCUCGUGCCGUGAGGUGUCGGCUUAAGUGCCAUAACGAGCGCAACCCCUUCCGCCGGUUACCAUCGGGUCAUGCCGGGGACUCCGGCGGCACUGCCACCGCAAGGCGCGAGGUAGGAAAGGAUGACGUCAAAUCAGCACGGCCCUUACGUCCGGGGCCACACACGUGUUACAAUGGGGGGCACAGCGAGCUGGGGAUGGCGACAUUCCCCGAAUCACGAAAUCCCCUCCCAGUUCGGCCGGAGUCUGCAACCCGACUCCGCGAAGCCGGAUUCGCUAGUAA